UACAGAGGUCCCGAGCGUUGUUCGGAUUCACUGGGCGUAAAGGGUGCGUAGGUGGUUGGGUAAGUUUGAUGUGAAAGCUCAGGGCUUAACCCUGAAAUGGCAUUGAAUACUACUUAACUGGAGGUUUGGAGGGGGGACUGGAAUUCUUGGUGUAGCAGUGAAAUGCGUAGACAUCAAGAGGAACACCAGUGGCGAAGGCGAGUCCCUGGACAACACCUGACACUGAGGCACGAAAGCUAGGGGAGCAAACAGG
rnacentral:rRNA from 1 species